rnacentral:lncRNA from 1 species
UGGCAGCAGAUAAAAAUUCUAAGUAUUAAAAUGGAAAGUCCAACCUGGAUGUAUCUGCCUUGAAACUUCAUGCUCUUUCUGCUCAGCAGCAACCAGACUCUGGAAAAAUACAACAUCAGUUAAGGUUAUUUUUUAUCUUUGGAUUGUUAAAAAACAUUACCAAAAGCUAUUCCUUGUUUGUGGGUUAGUGUUGGGAGAAACGGACAACCUAUUAUAAAAGUGAGUAUAAGAAAGCUUAUUCCUAAA